rnacentral:sRNA from 1 species
CGCGCGGCUAGACCGGCCAGUCGAAAGCGGAGAACACAGACUUCGUUGCCGCGCGCUUCCAUCUGUG